rnacentral:tRNA from 2 species
GCCCAGAUGGUGAAAUCGGUAGACACAAGGGAUUUAAAAUCCCUCGGCGGCAACGCUGUGCGGGUUCAAGUCCCGCUCUGGGCA